UACGGGGGGGGCAAGCGUUGUUCGGAAUUACUGGGCGUAAAGGGCUCGUAGGUGGCCAACUAAGUCAGACGUGAAAUCCCUCAGCUUAACUGGGGAACUGCGUCUGAUACUGGAUGGCUUGAGUUUGGGAGAGGGAUGCGGAAUUCCAGGUGUAGCGGUGAAAUUCGUAGAUAUUGGGAAGAACACCGGUGGCGAAGGCGGCUCUCUGGACCGAGACUGACGCUGAGGCGCGAAAGCGUGGGGAGCAAACAGG
rnacentral:rRNA from 1 species